AACGAACUAAACUCAAAACGGGUUUAAAAUGUUACUCUAGUGAUUUAUUAAAUUGAUAAAAACCUAGUGUAAAAAUACCUGCAUAUUAACUUGAUCUGCAGGAGAUUCGAUAUAUAAUUUAUUGCUUUAAAUUAAUCAACCACUUAUCUGUUUUAAAAUCAGCCGACCUCCACCAUUUUUAUUAAACUCUCCAGCUCAGGCACUUAUUACAGCCAUUCGUUCUCCAGCUCCCUCCACUCAUUACCCUCACGCUUCAUCAGCUAACUCCUACACUCAUCACUCUCGCAUGCCCUUAUUUUUAAUCCAAGUGAUAAUGAAAAUCCUCUUCCAUUAGCAUUUUAAAAUGAAUUCAGAAGCCGCAUGUUAUUCCAAUCUCCCACUUACUUUUCCACUCUAAUUUUAAUAAGUUUUCUCUUCCAUCAUCAUUUUGUUUUUCUUUUAGUUAUUUUAUUCUCUCUUUCUUCAUCACUUUCUUUCUUUACAUUAUUAUAAUCUUCUUCUUUCUUCCUUAUAUUCCCUCUUCCUCUACUCCACGAACACAGAAGAACAAAGCUAACAGAGACUCAGAGAAGGAAAUUGAUUAAGAGAGAGGCAGAAAUGGUAUGGCUUGAGAGAAGAGAUGAGUCCGAGAGGUGGAAAAACUGGGAGAAUCGGUUCUGCCAUUUACCCACAACCCAGCUGACCCGAAGCCGGCAACCCAUAAACUGGAGACCCGAGUCCAUAACCGCGACCCAUGCUCCAGCAGGAUUGUUGCUCGGACAGUCUCGAUCCCGGCCCAACCCGAAGCCCAAAACCGUAGCAGGCCGAGCAAAACCCGACGAAGCCGUGACCUGACUCUUCUGGGUUGACACCCACGACUUAUGGUACGAUUUCCGGCGGAUCCAAACAGAGAUGAACCCGGUGGCCGGUGAGACGAUUCCGGCAACAACCGUGACCCAGCCGAUUGUAGCAGACUGGAAACUGUGGACAUUCGGCCAGAACCAAAGCAGCCCAUACAACCGAUCCUAACCGCAUCCUCCAAACAAUGAGCAGAAUCCGGCAAUUUUGUUGAGAACUUCCAUCACUGUGAUGGAUUUUCUGAGAAGACUUCGGCUGAGUGAAGGUGAGUAUGUAUGAGAUUUUGUGUCGGCUGUGUCUCCUACUUGUAGGUUUGGACUGAAAUUAUGUGAGUGUUGUGAUUUGGACUUAAGCAAUGAUGGAUGAGUAUUCUGGACCCAAAUCUCCAACCCAUUAGGCCCAGUUGUGGUCCAGCCCCAUAGCCCAGCAAUGAGCCCAGCAGAAACCCAAACUCAAGCCCAUGACCCGAAUUCAGUGAUCCGACCCGCCGUUGACCCGCCGCCGGCAGUUUCUCCGGCGACUUUUCCGGCGACUUUUCCGGCAACUUUCCGGCCACUUUUCCGGCGACUUUCCGGCCACUUUCCGGCUAUUUUCCCCGGCGACCAAACUCACCGUUUCGCUGGAUUUUCGAGUGGAAAUCCUUAAUAUGAUGAAUUGAGACAGCACAAAAAGGACUGUAAGUAUUUUUAUACUUACUGAGGGUAGCACUGGAUUUCAGUAAUGUUGUGUUUAUGUUUUAUUUUAAUUGGAUGCGUGUGACUGAUUAUUGCAUACUGUUAAUAAUCAACCUAUUAAUAUUGGGCGCGACGUCUCCCAAAGGUUCAUGAUAGAGUUGAACCGGAAACAAUAAUAAUCAUAUUGAUUGGGACGGCUUUCAAAGUACUAGAGGAGGGAGGUCUCCGAUAGUGCGAAAACAAGUUAAUUAAAAUGUAAUGUAGAGGGGACGGCCUCGAGAAACACGAUUAAACGGGGGGACGUGCCCUUACAAGAGAGGAGUGUAAUCACUAUAUAAACUGUUAAACUUUGCAUGAAAAACUAUCACCUCAUCAUUAUGUCAUAUCUGUUCCUUAAAAUAACGCAUAAAUCAUGAUGUUGUUGAAAGACAGUUAGCUCACUCAUGGAACUAUGGGAUUGUGGCGGUAACCACCUUCUCAUAGAUGUUUGCGCAGGUACUGAAGAUUAUGGAAUGGAUUAACUGCUAGCUUAAGAGAUUUAUAGCUGUGUAGUUAGGAUUUUAGUACUUUGUACUCAUAGAUGUUUGUACUAUUUGCUUGUAAUAUGUCUAGACAUUUACUUGUAAUUAAUAAGUUCCAUGCAGGCUUUAGUGUCAUAUGUGACACAUGUUUCAUUGUAAAUAGUGUAAAGAUUUUUAAUGUAUUUUCUAGAAGAUGUCAGUUAAAGCUCUGAAUAUAUCGCAAGGGAGUUGUCCCUAUCGGUGAUGUUUAAAAAAAAAAAAGAUAUUCGUAUU